UCGUCGAUCUGUUGCGGGCAGAUGAAGUGGAUAUGCGCGUCCAUCCCGCCUGCGGUCAGGAUGCGGCCCUCACCCGCGAUAAUCUCGGUGCCCGGCCCGAUGAUAACAUCGACGCCCGCCUGCGUGUCGGGAUUGCCCGCCUUGCCAAUGCGUGAAAUCCGCCCGUCGCGCAGGCCGACAUCGGCCUUGUAAAUGCCGGUCCAGUCCACGAUCAGCGCAUUGGUGAUGACCGUAUCCAUCGCCCCGCCUGCACGGGUGAUCUGGGAUUGCCCCAUCCCGUCGCGG
rnacentral:sRNA from 1 species